rnacentral:ncRNA from 2 species
GCACAACGGGUGCAGUUUGGUGGCCCCAUGCGCAAAGCGCGACGGGGUCUGAAACGGGAAUGUGGUGACGGUGACCCAAGUCGGGGCCAGAUGCCACAGCCGCCCCCGCGACUGUAAGCGGUGAGCAAAGGCCACAUGCCACUGGGGUUCCCCCGGGAAGGCGGUCCGCGCAUCGACCCGCAAGCCAGGAGACCGGCCAAGCGAUUUUGAUAACC